GGUCGAACCCUCCCCCACAUACCGCCGGCAGCCUGCGGCCGAACUCUCCGCCGCAACCGCCCGCGGGAGGGAGCGCGGCAUCCUUCCAUCCUCCGCCCUCCUUCCAUCCUCGCGGAUCCCGCGCUCCCUCCCUCGCUCCUCACCUUCCCAGCUGCGAACAAUCCGAGCCCCGUCAACGCCCCUGCAAUCCCCGUCAGCCGCCGUGCCCCAUCAACGGGAGUUGCGACCACAAAGCACCCAAGCCCGUGCCCACCCUCCUCCCAGCGCUCCACCAUCGGCGCCCCUUCCCUGGCGAGAUGGACGGCAUCUGCGCCGUGUCCCUCAGAGAUCCCCUUCCAUCUUCGAGGCCGAGAGAGAAAUCCAUUCCAUUCCUGGCGAGAUCCAAGGGGCUGCGCUGUGUCCCUUCCAUACACGACGAGGACCACCAUCGGCGCCCCUUCCUUGGCGUGAUGGACAGCAUCUGCGCCGUGUUCUCUAGAGGCAGUCACGGCCGUGGAUCCCUACUACCCCCACUGCCACCCCGAGGACGCUUCCAAGCAGCUGACCUUCACUGAGUUCUUUGACAACGCUCCUCAGCGCUUCUAUUUUGCGCGGACGAGACUCAAUGCUUCCUCCUCCGUGCCGCCACUACUCCGCCCGUUCCCUAGCGACGAUAGCGGGUUAGGGUUUCUGUACCUGGAGCCACCACCUCCUCUGUCGUGUCCUCUGCCGCCUCCACCUUAUGGUUGGUGCUCAGGCCUUCGGGACUUCUGUCGGCAUCGCGCACCCACCAGGUAUUGGCGCUACACAUUAGCACCAAUUUUUGGAUGGUUUGUCAUAAGACACUGUGAGGACCACUUCUUUUAAUAAAUUUGCUAUACCGGAUCGCAGCAUGUCAAUGACUCUGUCUACAUGUCAACAUGGUCUAAUUCGUGAGGCAAGUGUGUGGAUCUUGGUCCAAUUCAGUUCAGACUUCAUCUACUUGUUAACAACUUCAGAAAAUUUCAGUAAUUACAACAGAUGGGCAAGACCUGUACUUAGUUCAGCAACCUCAGUUCCUCUCUAUCGACAACUGUAGGUCAUGGUUAUCUGCAUUUCCUGUUCGGUGCGUUAUCUGGGUGCCUCAAGAAUAAAGGUGGAAGGAAUUUUGCGCUCUAGAAGUGGAGGAGGUUGACAGUAGAUUGCAAGAAUAUGAGCAAGGUUUUUUUCAUUACUUAGUUUGUAUUUAAAAUUGUAGAAUAUGAGAAAGGUUUUUUGACACUCACUAUUUCGACAUAUGGGUUUUCUGUAUAUCUCUUGAUUUGUUUAGUGCUUUGCUGGGCCAGGGUCUUAGGUUGGUAGAUUUACAUUUACCUCCACUGCUUUAUGAGGUUCAGCCUUAUCGAUUAUCCCUUCAAUCCUGAAACCGUAACGUGAUGCUUCUAAUUGAACAGCAA